GGGGAGUAUUGGACAAUGGGGGAAACCCUGAUCCAGCCAUGCCGCGUGAGUGAUGAAGGCCUUCGGGUUGUAAAGCUCUUUUAGCGGGGAAGAUAAUGACGGUACCCGCAGAAUAAGCCCCGGCUAACUUCGUGCCAGCAGCCGCGGUAAGACGAAGGGGGCUAGCGUUGUUCGGAAUUACUGGGCGUAAAGGGCGCGCAGGCGGCUCUACAAGUCAGGCGUUAAAGACCCAGGCUCAACCUGGGGAAUGCGCUUGAUACUGUAGGGCUUGAGAUCGGAAGAGGAGAGUGGAAUUCCCAGUGUAGAGGUGAAAUUCGUAGAUAUUGGGAAGAACACCAGUGGCGAAGGCGGCUCUCUGGUCCGAUUCUGACGCUGAGGCGCGAAAGCGUGGGGAGCAAAC
rnacentral:rRNA from 1 species